rnacentral:lncRNA from 1 species
GGAAAAGGGCUAUGCAGGCCCAGACUGGAGCGUCUAAUGGACUUUGGGAACUACAACCACUCCUCUCUGCGGAGGGAACCUGCUUUCUCCUCAUGGAUACGAGAGCUGUUCUGCGGAAUUCUGGUCCCCCCAAGAAACAGAAGUCCAUUAGGGAUGCCAGUGCUUACGUCAUCUAACCAAUGAAACGUCUCUCCCUGUAAGCACGAUGGUAAAGGAGCACGUGGAAAGGACAAGCGCUCUUGGUCCAGCUGGCUGCUCUGAACCUUCUGGUGAGCACUGUGGUAAAGCUAAGUGAGUGUCUGACGUGUCACUUGUACAGCCUGUCACAACGAAACCCCAGGAUCGAGAUGCAGACCUGUCAGCUCCUUCUGAAGCACCCUGUCUGCCUAAAUGCCACCGUGCUUGUCACGACAGUAACAGACGAAACCUCUGAAACUAAAGGAAACUGGCAGAAUGUUGGCUUAAAUAACCUGCUUACACGUACACAGCCGGGAACUGACAAAGCUUGAAUUUCAAUUGCAACAAUCUAAACCAUCAUUUAAAAUUGGAAUCUAGCAAAGUCACAGAGCAUGAGUGAUGGCUGUUCCUGGUUGUCGACUACAUCUGGAAUGAACUACAAUCCGGAAAUGGAGGGCAUACCUGUGAUCCAGAUCUUGAGAGUGGAUGGCACAAGCUCUGACAGGAGAUGACACACACUUUUGAUUCAGAUCUUGAGGCACAGUGACCAUGCAAAGCUUAGGCCCAGACAGGAGUUGCUUUAAUCCCAGGAGACUGAGGCAAGGAGAUCUGAUUUCAAGGCCAGCUUGGGACUGUGAGCUCCAAAUCCAGGCAUGGUGGUACACACAUCUGGGCCAUACCUUCUGCUGAAGCCUAUAUAAGGACAUUAGAAGAAAGAAGACUCACUCUUCUUCGCAUGCUUGCACUUACUGGCCAGCAUAUCCAUUGGAACCUACUUCUUCGGGGGAGUCCAGUGUAAACAGAAGACCAGCUAAAACAGCUAACCUUGUGGGACUGAGCAACUACUAGACGCUUGGACUUCCCAUUCACAGCUGCCCAUUGUUGGGUUAGUUGGACUACAGACUGUAAGUCAUUACAAUAAAUUCCCUUAUAU